CCUUGGUACUGUUUACAUGUGUCAGCUUGCUGCCUGGGAUGAGAGAGCGUGGCUUCAUGACCUCAAAAGGCUUUUUCAAUCUCAAUUAUAUCUUACCUGCAUUUAGAUACUCCUUGAACUCUUUCUUCAGGGCAACUGAGGCGCCAUAGGGAAGAAGCAGGCACCCUUCCAAAUGCUGCUAAGCAAUCACUGCCCAGGGACUUCUCAGUUUCCCAUGCUCUUCCAGGGAGCAGGUGGACAAGAAGCCAUGAGGGAACAGCUCACCCAAACUGGCUAAAAGGAUAUUCCACACCAUAGUACAUCAUACCCAAUAUAUUAACUGGGGAGAAUUGUCCAGGAGGUUGAUCACUUCUCAGCAUCAGUCAGUGCACAGUGUUCUGGCACAGUCAAGAGGGUGGUGAGCCUGGAUAUUCUGCAUCACUCAUUUCUCUUGGGUUUUACUCCUCUCUCUCAUAUGUUUGUCUUCCAUAUUGUUACUGCUAUGAUUGUUAUUAUUACUAUAUUAUUAUUAUAAUUUAAUUUAUUUCAAAUAUUAAAAUUUUUUUCU